rnacentral:misc_RNA from 1 species
GGUCAACACAUGACAUGACACAAUUAUUGGCAUUGUUAUAAAUUGAUCGACACGAUUACAACAUGAACACGAAUAAGCUUAACCCUCUAUUUUUGUGCCCCUAUCAUGUUUGCAAAUCGUUUCUAAAAUAUGCCACCCCUAGAUAAAGCAAUCCAAUCAUGAGUUAGAGGCCAUAUACCUCCUCACUCAAAAAAUGAAGGUU